rfam:Macrostomum lignano uti_cns_0003288, whole genome shotgun sequence.
AAAACGGCCCUUUUCAGGGCCACCACAUUUAAAUGAUGUCGUAAAU